GGCACAGAUGUAAUCUUACAGUGGUCCAUGUCCAAUUUGAGCCUCUUGUAUAAAGCCCUAAAGAGAUCCACGAAGAAGAACCCUAGUUUCCUCUUUCACCGCAGUUUCUGAAGCUUCCAACCAGGAAGAUAGGAAGAUGGCUCCCAAACCACCCAGUACGGGUUUGUUUGUUGGGUUGAACAAGGGUCACAUCCUUACCAAGAAGGAGUUGCCCCCACGGCCCUCCGAUCGCAAAGGG